CUUCAAGAAAUUAAUUCAUACGAGAUCAGUAGUCAAUAUCGACAAAAAAACUCCGUUUAAUCAUUGCUGAACAAUAUGGCUACCUGCAAUGAUAAAUAUAGAUAUGAGAAUGAGACAAUAUCUCCUCAGCUGCUUGGUCAAUUUCAAUAGGAUAAAACACAUAGUGAAAACCAUACCGUCAGACAAAUUUGCUGCUGGUUGGCGUGUUGUCCAUCAACUGAUAAAAGAUCAUAUUGAAGAAGUCACAAAUUGCCUCUCAUGAAAGUGGGAUAUUUGGACACUGUUACAUGCAAUUGUACUCUGUGAAGCAAUGAAGAAUUUAUGACUGGAUAACUUAAUGAAUGUAUCAUAUCUCUAUCUCUUGGUUAGGGUAUCAUACUUUGUGGAUAUUGUAUCAUUCAGUUUUAUCAUAUAACAAUCAGGCUUUUCAUAAAACUGUAAAGCAUGAUUAUAUAGGAAUGUGUGUGAGAUGAAAAUGAUUCAGUAUAGAAAGGAAAAAGUUGAUAUAUUUAUUAAAACCACUUGUUUGUGACACGGACAGUUACACAUUUAAGUUAGAGAUUUCUACUGUUUACUGAUCUGAAAAUCAGAAUGGAUCAUCAUAUGAUUAAUAUCCGUCCAUCUCAACCACAACCAUUUACUAU